GUGCCAGCAGCCGCGGUAAUACGGGGGGGGCAAGCGUUGUUCGGAAUUACUGGGCGUAAAGGGUUUGUAGGUGGCCGGCUAAGUCAGACGUGAAAUCCCUCAGCUUAACUGGGGAACUGCGUCUGAAACUGAUCGGCUCGAGUGCAGGAGAGGAACGCGGAAUUCCAGGUGUAGCGGUGAAAUGCGUAGAUAUCUGGAGGAACACCGGUGGCGAAGGCGGCGUUCUGGACUGCAACUGACACUGUAAAACGAAAGCCAGGGGAGCAAACGGGAUUAGAUACCCUUGUAGUCC
rnacentral:rRNA from 1 species